CGAAAGGAAUAACGCUUGAAAUAGUAAGGAAAACGCAAACUAGCGAAAUAAGAAUGUUAAAAACAUUAAGAUAAAGAACCCGGGUAACGGGUCGUAAGGAAGUAUAGGUAAGAACCGAGUAACGGUAAACGUAGGACAAACCGACGUGUAAAUGACGUUAGAAGUCAUAGAGUCGGAAGGAUAAUUCAGAAGAAAACAAAUAUAGCCUUAGACUACGGUCAAGGUCCAUAGAAUUCAAGAACGAAAACGAAUGAUUUCUAAACUUAAAAAGGGUGCAUUGACACCGAAAGUAUAUUUUAGAACGAGAUGAGUAAAAGAUGAAUCUACCGGAUCAUCACAACCUUCAGGAAUUAUAAGUAAUGAUAAGGUCUACGAGAGCAGAAAGACCCUUGGGUCACAAAUAGAAAGAAACAAACUGUUUGAGUCUCACCUAGCCUAUGAGCCUAAGUAAAAGAGAGCCCACGAGUCAAUAAUGUAAAGCAAGGAAACUGGUUGUAACUCCCCGUGUAAAAUAAUAACGGGAGGUAAGGUUAGUAUAGAAGCGAUGGGUUUCGCUAAGUUAAUUAAAUGAGUUUAAAUGAAGAGAUCAUGAAGGGUCUGGUUGACAAAAAUGAAGAUUUUCGAUAUUGAAAAGUUUUAUAUAAACUUAAACAUGACGUGAAGCGAUCACGGUUAAGAAAAGUAAUAUGGAAUAUAAUCACGUUAUAGGGUGAACUAUGAAUUGGGGAUAAUAGAAGUUUGUAAGACUUAAGAAGGCAAAGUGGAUAUACCCAGGCAAUGGGGUAUAAGGUAACCAGUGACUAAUAAGUCUAACCACCAAGACGAGCAAUCAAUAAAGAUAAAGGAUAAGAGCCGAAGGUAACCGCCCAUGAGGCCUUACAUGUAAAAGGCGCAUACGCUUAGAAACCAAAAAGACGUUACUAUAAUUCCCUAGUAAGAUUAGUGAACGCGAGCAAUCCCAAAGUAAAUCGCCAAAAUCAGGUUCAUUAACUUUAACCCAUUGAAUUACGUGAUAAAGGUUUCGAGGACGAAACCUCUUUAAGGGGGUAGACUUGUAACACCCCGAAAAUAUAAAUAUUAUAUUGUAAACUAAACAUCGGUAAUAGUCACGAUAAAAUAACUAGGAAUAAAUAACCUAGUUAGUUAGUGUCUUGACAUAAUAGAACAAACAUGGUUAAAAUACCCUUUACAAAACUUGAAUAAGUAAAGGGGCUAAUGUUGAACAAAAGUUAAAAUGGGUUUUAUUUAUUAAAAAACAAAACACCAAAAACACACACUAAAGUGUGUGUUCUGGUCAUGUAAAUCACAGGAACCAAAAGAGCUCUCAAAAACCCAAACCCUAGCUUACAGAAUUGAUCAAAUCAAGAAGGCAAAUCAAGUUCAAAUCAAAAACCAAGCUCAAACUAGUGAUCACUCAAGUGAGGGGAUCACAAGGUAAUGCUCGUUUCAUUGUGGAUGUCGAUCAAGCAAGGAAAUCAAGAACCGAACACAAGUUUUGAAUGCUUCCGUGAUAAUCUAAUCUAGUUCAAACCAUGUUGUUUUGUAAACACUUCUAAACGUUGAAUAUUUUAAUCUAGUUAGUUGACUAUGUUCAAAUGCUAUAAUGAAGUACAUCUUAGUUUAUUAACUAAGUUUUUGUUAA